AAAACCAACAUCCAAAAUAAGUCAAGUAAGUAGGAGAGGCGCACCAAUAAUCUAAUAGAGGAGAAUAUGUCAUCAGAAACGGAAAAAACCUAAUUUUAGCACUUAUUCACAUGAGUGCCCUAUACUAGCCAGGGGCGGACUCAGAGAAAUAUUUUGUAUGGGGCACAUACUGAAACAAAUAUAUAGAUUAGGGGUUUAACUAAAUUUGUGUUGAGUUACUUGAGCAAAAACAAAAAUGAGUGUGGG
rnacentral:lncRNA from 1 species